AUCCUUUUCUGGUUCAUAAGCAUGAUAAUUGGGUUGUCACGCUAUUGUGUAAGAUAUGCCUCCCUUAAACUUUGUCAUGAUGUCAGCACAUUAACCCCUGACA
rnacentral:snoRNA from 1 species